rnacentral:rRNA from 1 species
AGUGAACGCUGGCGGUAGGCCUAACACAUGCAAGUCGAACGGCAGCACAGUAAGAGCUUGCUCUUACGGGUGGCGAGUGGCGGACGGGUGAGGAAUACAUCGGAAUCUACUUUUUCGUGGGGGAUAACGUAGGGAAACUUACGCUAAUACCGCAUACGUCCUACGGGUGAAAGCAGGGGAUCUUCGGACCUUGCGCGAUUGAAUGAGCCGAUGUCGGAUUAGCUAGUUGGCGGGGUAAAGGCCCACCAAGGCGACGAUCCGUAGCUGGUCUGAGAGGAUGAUCAGCCACACUGGAACUGAGACACGGUCCAGACUCCUACGGGAGGCAGCAGUGGGGAAUAUUGGACAAUGGGCGCAAGCCUGAUCCAGCCAUACCGCGUGGGUGAAGAAGGCCUUCGGGUUGUAAAGCCCUUUUGUUGGGAAAGAAAAGCAGCAGGUUAAUACCCCGCUGUUCUGACGGUACCCAAAGAAUAAGCACCGGCUAACUUCGUG